rnacentral:rRNA from 1 species
GCGUGCUUAAUACAUGCAAGUCGAACGAGAAAGCACCUUCGGGUGUGAGUAAAGUGGCAAACGGGUGAGUAAUACUUAGGUAAUCUGCCCCUUGGCGGGGGACAACUUUUCGAAAGGAGAGCUAAUACCGCAUAAGACCACAGCUUCUACGGAAGCAGCGGUCAAAGAUGGCCUCUACUUGUAAGCUAUCACCAGGGGAUGAGCCUAAGCAGCAUUAGCUUGUUGGUGGGGUAACGGCCUACCAAGGCGACGAUGUUUAGCUGAUCUGAGAGGUUGAUCAGCCACACUGGAACUGAGACACGGUCCAGACUCCUACGGGAGGCAGCAGUAGGGAAUAUUGCGCAAUGGAGGAAACUCUGACGCAGCGACGCCGCGUGGGUGAUGAAGGCUUUCGGGUCGUAAAACCCUGUCGGGUGGAAAGAAAAACGGUAUGGCUAAUAUCCAUACCGCUUGACGGUACCACCAAAGGAAGCACCGGCUAACUACGUGCCAGCAGCCGCGGUAAUACGUAGGGUGCAAGCGUUGUUCGGAAUUAUUGGGCGUAAAGCGCGUGUAGGUGGCUAUGCAAGUCGGAUGUGAAAUCCCUGGGCUCAACCGAGGAAGUGCAUCCGAAACUACAUAGCUAGAGAUUGGUAGAGGGAGGUGGAAUUCCUAGUGUAGAGGUGAAAUUCGUAGAUAUUAGGAGGAAUACCGGUGGCGAAGGCGGCCUCCUGGACCAUUCCUGACACUGAGACGCGAAAGCGUGGGUAGCAAACAGGAUUAGAUACCCUGGUAGUCCACGCCGUAAACGAUGGGUACUAGAUGUUGCGGGUAUUGACCCCUGCAGUGUCGAAGCUAACGCACUAAGUACCCCGCCUGGGAAGUACGGUCGCAAGAUUAAAACUCAAAGGAAUUGACGGGGGCCCGCACAAGCGGUGGAGCAUGUGGUUUAAUUCGAUGCUACGCGAAAAACCUUACCUGGUCUUGACAUCCCCGGACCGCCCUAGAGAUAGGGUUUUCUCUUCGGAGACCGGGUGAUAGGUGCUGCAUGGCUGUCGUCAGCUCGUAUCGUGAGAUGUCGGGUUAAGUCCCUUAACGAGCGCAACCCUUAUCCCUAGUUGCUACCAUUCAGUUGGGCACUCUAUGGAGACUGCCGGUGUUAAACCGGAGGAAGGUGGGGAUGACGUCAAGUCCUCAUGGCCCUUAUGUCCAGGGCUACACACGUGCUACAAUGGCCGGUACAGAGGGUCGCCAACCCGCGAGGGGGAGCUAAUCUCACAAAACCGGUCUCAGUCCGAAUUGGAGUCUGCAAUUCGACUCCAUGAAGCUGGAAUCGCUAGUAAUCGCAGAUCAGCAGGCUGCGGUGAAUACGUUCCCGGGCCUUGUACACACCGCCCGUCACACCACGAAAGUUGAUUGUACCAGAAGUCGUCGUACCAACCUUCGGGAGGAAGACGCCCAAGGUGCGGCCGGUGAUUGGGGUGAAGUCGUAACAAGGUAU